rnacentral:rRNA from 1 species
AUUGAACGCUGGCGGCAUGCCUUACACAUGCAAGUCGAACGGUAACAGGUUAAGCUGACGAGUGGCGAACGGGUGAGUAAUAUAUCGGAACGUGCCCAGUCGUGGGGGAUAACGUAGCGAAAGCUACGCUAAUACCGCAUACGAUCUGCGGAUGAAAGCGGGGGAUCGCAAGACCUCGCGCGAUUGGAGCGGCCGAUAUCAGAUUAGGUUGUUGGUGAGGUAAAAGCUCACCAAGCCUGCGAUCUGUAGCUGGUCUGAGAGGACGACCAGCCACACUGGAACUGAGACGCGGCCCAGACUCCUACGGGAGGCAGCAGUGGGGAAUUUUGGACAAUGGACGCAAGUCUGAUCCAGCAAUGCCGCGUGCAGGACGAAGGCCUUCGGGUUGUAAACUGCUUUUGUACGGAACGAAACGGUGAGCUCUAAUACAGUUUGCUAAUGACGGUACCGUAAGAAUAAGCACCGGCUAACUACGUGCCAGCCGCCGCAGUAA